GGGGGGCCAUUCAGAGAGGCCCAUCUAAAGGGGAUCUACCCAAGCUGGCCCAUCCAAGGGUAUCCAUCCAAGGGGGAGGGUGUCCAUCUAAGGGGGAUCCAUCCAAGUGGGAUCCGUCCARGGGGGUCCAUCUAAGCAGGGUCCAUCCAAGUGGGAUCCAUCCAAGGGGGUCCAACUAAGGAGGGUCCACCCAAGGAGGAUCCAUCAGAGGGAGACCAUCUAAAGGAGAUCCACCCAAGCUGGCCCAUCCAAGGCCCGGGGUGGGGGGGUUCAUCCAAGGGUGGGGUCCGUAAAAGGGAGAUCUACCCAAAAGGGAUCCAUCGAAGGGGAUCCAACAAGUGGGAUUCAUUGGGGGGGGGGUCCAUCCAAGGGGAUCCAUCCAAGAGGGCUCCAUCAMAGGGGGUUCAUCCGAGGGGAUCCGUCUAAGGAGGCAACAGGCUCUCCAGGCGUCUCGGGCGGGUGCCUGGGCCGAUGCCGGCAGCCCAACACCCUGCCCGACGCUGCCGUUAGUCCUUCUCCUGCCUGCAGAUCUCCCAGAGGCGGGCGGGCAGGAGGCCGUGCCGCGGGACCUGCGGGCCGUGCGGCUGCACCUGGACAACAGCACCGCGCUCCCCUCCGCGGCCGCCGUCCAGCUCCGCUGGCGGGUGCUGACGCCGGCGCCGGCGCCGGAGGGCUUCACGGUGCUGUACCGCUGCCUGCUCCCUGCCAGCACCGCCUGGGCCCAGCACGACGUCGGCAGGGAGCUCAGCGCCGUCAUCCCCGCGCUCCGGAGGGGCUACAAGUACGAGUUCAAGGUCCGGCCCUACGCCGGGGGAGCCCAGGGCGUGGACAGCAACACCAGGCACCUCUGGAUACCCGAGGAAGGUAGCUCUGGGCACGGGGCGCGCGAGGGACCGGGGACCCCCCGGCCCAGCAGGACCACCAGGCCACGAGGGCCAGCUGGGGGCCGCGGGGGGGUCUCAGCCUUGCUGUCCCGGCAGCACCGAGCGCGGCGCCCCGGCACGUCACCGUGGGCCGGGCUGAGACGGGGAACGGCACCGUGGUCGUGAGCUGGGAGCCGCCUCCUCCCGACGCCCACAACGGCAUCAUCCGCGGCUACAAGGUUGGGGGCCCCGGGGAGGCACCGGGGGCUGCUGGCCAAGGAGGU
rnacentral:lncRNA from 1 species